AGCCCCUAUCGAUGGCCUGAAGUUUGAAACCAGCCACUGAUAUAACAUGCAGCACAGAUGUGACAAACAGGAGAAAACCAGCUAUCUAUCACAGCAGUUCCUGAAGCCCUGCAAUAAAACAAAAUGCCAGAUGGAAUUAGAAACCACCGCCGGCGCUCAGAGCCCACUGUGAAGCUGCUCCUUGGAUGCCAACCCUGGGGCUCGUGCUGACCUCCAGCCACGGGCCACCCCGCGCUGUGGGUCUGGUGGCAGCUCCAUCCGAAGGGCAGCAUUCACCUCCUCGGGGCAGGAGCUCUGCGAAAGCCCAGCAAUGGGAUAACCACGCUUUGAAGAACCGUGGGCUGAAGGCCAGCCCAGCCACCUGCUGUGGGUGGGACACUCCUCCCUGCUGCUCUCUCAUCUGCAUCCCACGACGUGCGCCGGGAUGAGCACCUGGCCCGGCAGCCUGCGCUUUGCAGAGAGCUGCUCACCUCUGCGUGCAAACCCUCAUCUGUUGCUGGGAGGAAGCCUGUGUUUGAGGAGGGGCUGCUGCAGCUUCUCAGAAGUCUGAGCACUGGGAGCUGUUUUCCUCUUCUUCCUUUUCCGUUAUUCAUCUGAAAGUGUUCACUUUGCUAAAAUGUGAAUCCAUCAGGACCAUAUGCUCCCAGCUAUGUUGCAGGCACCCAGGACUAAUUCAGAUCUUGUGCCUGUCUUCGGGCCAUCUGCUAACAGGAUCACACGAGACCAUGUGUCAUCACGGGCUGAAAUUUGCAUAGAUGCUUUGAGGAGCUGUGCCCAGCCCCAACCACAUGAGCCACGAUGAAUGCCCUCGAGUUGCCAUGAACCACCCCGUGCUGUAGGGAGGUAGCACGAGGACCCAGUGAUGCCCAUGGCCAAUGCCAUCCCCACCCGUCCUCUGUCCUGCCCUCAUCUGCUCCAAUCCAUGGCUGGAUGUGCAGGACAAGGCGAGCCCACAGGCUCUGCGGGAGGUUAACACAUGAAUCGUCCCAGCUGUGACAGCAGAGCCUUAACUAAGCCCAUCAAUAACGGAUGGCACUGCAGCGGUGGAGCGGGCGGCAGCCCUGGGGCCUCUCUAUCAGCAGGCAAGGAGGAGAUGGCAGCAGCAGAUAAUGGAUGGCAAACAUCCAGCACGCGCCAGAGUUCCGAAAGCGCCACGACUCUCGUUUCAUCCCCUCUGCAACACUUUGGAGAGCAAAACCAGGGGGAUGACGGAGCGAACAAACGUCUCCGUGCCGUGGGAGCCAAGUUUUGCAAACGCACUUCCUCCGGAUGGCGCCGGGUCUACCUGAUAGCAUCGCUGUGUGCACAAAAACCGCCCGCUGCUGAGAUUAAAGGGAUGUCCUUCAGCUGUGGCAAUCACACCGUGGCUCUGUGCACGCUGGGGCUGUGCGGGGGAAGCUGGCAGACAGCUCUGACCGAGCAGAACACAUUUUGCUUUGGAACGUGCAGACGCUAGAAAAUGGAAGAUGGAGAUAUAUAUUUUUUAUUAUUUUGCUUUCGAGCCAUCAGCGUGGCUUAUUGGUUGAUUAAUAACCGUUUGUUAGCGUUCUUUAAGUUCUGUAGGAAACAGAAGGCCUGUAAAUGGCCUGGAUGAGCAAAAAGCACAAAAUACCUCAGACAUAAUACGCCAAAUGUAAAUAAUAUUUAUGGCUCAUUAAAGCAUUGAUGCUCUGCGUGCAUUGGAGUACACGCAGCGGGGAGCCAGAGGAGCGAGAGGUUGGCUCAUUAUUUCUUUUCAACCUGAGAAAUGCGGAAAUAAAAUGCUGAAAAACAUCUCCA
ensembl:lncRNA